UACAGAGGGUGCAAGCGUUAAUCGGAAUGACUGGGCGUAAAGGGUGCGUAGGUGGUUGGAUAAGUCAGUGGUGAAAUCCCUGGGCUUAACCUAGGAAUAGCUGCUUAGACUGUUUAGCUGGAGUACAGGAGAGGUGAGUGGAACUGCGAGUGUAGAGGUGAAAUUCGUAGAUAUUCGCAAGAACACCAGUGGCGAAGGCGGCUCACUGGCCCGAUACUGACGCUGAGGCACGAAAGCGUGGGGAGCAAACAGG
rnacentral:rRNA from 1 species